AAUACUUCAAAUAAAAGUUUUCUAUAAAAGUCUGCGAAUUAAACGUCUUUCCCGUAAAACAAUAUGACAAGUGAAUGAUGACGUUUUUGGUUUUUGUUCGUAACAUCAUUACGGUUUCUACUAUCAUUACGGUGAAAGUAUAAAGAACUAAACGCGUGUAAAAGAGACGAUCAUUUACGAUUAUAUGACUGAACAGCACAAAUGAUAUGAAUUUUAACACUACUUAUUUGGAUUAACCGUUCUAAAUGGUCGAUGAAUAAUGACCGCUGUACACAGGAGUGGAUUUAAAUCAUUCCCGUGAGAAAGUUCAAAUAAGGAUCGAAGUUUGUCGAGGACGAAAUCAAAUUGUAUUUUUUUAACUAUCGUGAGAACGCUUUGGCAGGUUCUAUCAAGUGGCUAAUCCAGCAUUAGAUAAAAUCAAUUACAACGCAUUAUUCUUUGAUAUCAAUACAUUUCAACGUACUUUAAAA